AAUCAUCUCCUUCAUUCCAUGAGAUAGGCAAAGAAGACACCAAACUCCAUUUUUCUUAUGCUAUGGCCGAACCCCAUCAAUCUCCCUCACACACUCACAAUUCUUCACCCAAACACCAAAGUUUUAGAGGCAAAUCAUUCUAAUUUCAAAGGAGAUCAAGACUCGGCGAGUCGACUACCAACGGAACACGGUACUUAAAGAACGCGAUAUGACCGUAGCUUUUGGAUAGAAAACUUGUUAUGUUUCAGGUGUAUAGUAUCGGAUGUAACGGACUUCUAUCCUUGUUCCAGAAGUCCGCGAGUACAGAAAGAAGGAAUAAAUCAGUAGUGCUGCAGUAGUCGAGUCCUAGAGUGUAAUUAUGUUUUAUCAAACGAUUUUAAAUAUCUUGUUUAUACUCUGAUAUGUAUAAAGGUUUUAGACUGCGAUUUUAACCGUUUAUAUAUAUAUGUGAGAAACAGGGUAUUGCUUGAUAUGGGAUAUCGUUUUGUAAGACCCUGAUUUCUAAAGAUCGUUUUGUAUCGUUUAAAGAAGUUUUAUAAAAUAAAAAAACAUUUUGAGAA